rnacentral:lncRNA from 1 species
GUCUACAAGCACAUGAUAGCACAUCUAACCUUUUUUUUUUCCCUCCAAAUGUGUAUGGGUUCAUCCAUCUGAGGAUGUGUACCACCCAUGGGCCUGGUGCCCUCAGACCAGCAGAGGUACAUGGAUCUGGAGUUACAGUAGGGUGUGAACUGCCAUGUGAAUGCUGGGAAUGACAUCAGGGUCUUCUGUAAGAAUAACCCGUGCUCAUUAAUCACUGAGCCAUCUCUCCAGCCACCUCCCCUGACUAUUUUUUGAUAACUUUAAACCUUUUUUUUUUUUUAAUAAAUGAUGUGACUGGAAACAAUGAAAAGCAUUUACUUCUCCCUUCUGCCCUGUGGGAACAAUACCUGAUUUGGAAGGAAGGAAAAAAGAAGUAGGGGCAAGUUUCUUCCAUUGUCUUCCAUCUACUCCAGGAUUUCAGAUCACGUGGCUUCUCCCAGGGUUCCGUAUGUCUUUAGUUACUGUGCUAGAGGGAAGGUGGUUUUGUGUUUUGUUUUGAUACUAAGUAAAUUCCAGUUUGGGGCCAGUUUUUACACAGCUGAUCAGAUCUCAUGGACCUUGUUUUAUUUUGCUGGUAUAUUAGCUCAUGACUUUAAACAGAAUUUUAGUCCUUAUUCACAUGUCUUAGUUAGGGUUUCUAUUGUUGUGAUUAAACACCAUGACCUAAAGGCAAGUUGGGAAGGAAAGGGUUAAUUUGGCUUACCCUUCCAUAUCACUGUUCAUCAAAAGAGGUCAAGACAGGAAUUCAUUUCGAAGCUGGCUGUAGGAGCUGAUGCAGAGGCCAUGGAGAGUGAGUACUGCUUACUGCCAUGCUCCAUGGGGCUUACUCAGCCAGCCUUCUUAGAGAACCCAGGACCACCAGCCCAAGAAUGGCAUCUUGCACAGUGGGUUUGGCCCGCCCCCAUCAAUCAGUAAGAAUGCUCUAUAGGCUUGCCCUCUUAGAGAGGCAUUUUCUUCACUGACGCUCCCUCUUCUCAGAUGACUUUAGCUUGUGUCAAGUUGGCAUAAAACCAGCCAGCAUAUUCACAUGUUAGCAGAUUUUAGGUAAACUCAACACAGUUCAUUUUCUUUUACACUAGUGUUUUUACAAUAUGUGAGGUCAUGGAUGUGCUAAUUAGCUUGAUGGAACCAUUGCAUAGAAUAUACGUUAUCAAAAAGGUAUUUUUCCUCCCAAAGUAACAGGGAGGAAUUUGGAAGAUUUAGAAUAGCCUAGCUUGGGUAGAGUCAAGCCCUGUGCUAACCAAUUCACAUUUGAGCUCCUUUGAGAUUUUUUUUCUCUCUCUCAAAAAAAACCACAAAAACAAAAAACAAGAAGGUAAGAAAAGCAAAAACCCACUAGAAAACAUAGAGUCUGAUUUUUGUUGUCCAUCCACUUCCUGCCAUGUGGUUUAUGUACCCACUGUCGCUUGAAGAAAAGGGAUUACUCCUCUCCCACCAUCAUUUCCAAUACCUUUCUGGCUAGGGGUGGGUCUUGCCCACUUCCCCUCCUUCGUGCUGGGAUUUUUGCUGACUUGAGCUUGUGCAGGUUUUGGUACCCUACUGCGACUCCCAUUCUGCAGAGGAGGACAAUCUUCAGUUGACAUUACUUGGCAGUUAAAUGAUAAAAUUUGAACCCAGAGGCCAAAUGUUUCUCUUCUGCAACACAUCUGUGAACCCCACCUUAAAAUAUUUCUUUUCUCUUGGCUUCUACAUCCACUGACCAAGCCAGCAUUUCCUCAUCCAGUCCAUGAAAUAUCAACAGAUGUUCCAUAAAAAAGAAAAUUUAAUGGAAAAAUAUUUAACCCAGCACUUUCCUUAUGUGCAUAGAGAUUAUUUAUAUUGAGAACUUCUCUCUAAAUCACAUUCAAUAUCUAUUGCAUAUCGCCAAGGGCAACAUUCAUCUUGUAGCAUUCUAGAAUUAUUUUGGCAUGCAAUGAUGUGUUUGGUUUUGUUUUUAUAAGUUAUCUAUAGAUACCUCAAGGAACACACAGCUCUGUGCCAUUUCUGUGUUCUUGAAUCUCCUCCAUUCCUUUACACCAUUACUUUCUCCUAAAAUCUUGUAUGCAGUUUCUGCAGGAUAGGCUCACAGGUGUGUCUGCCUACCUCAGUGUGCAGGAAACAUGGCUUCUACUCGGUUCACUGUAGUAUAAAAGGGCUGUGUUAGGUGCUGUUUGUGCAUGCUUGCCAGGGCUGUAUAUGCCAGCUUCCACCUAUGCUCUGUGCUGAGUGCCUGCAAAUACCACGCCGCCAGAGCACUUGCCCCAGGAUUAGAGUGGAGCAUUGUGCUUUCUGUGCGUUUUUGUCUUGAAAGCCUGUUGGCAGGAUGCUCUCUUGCCUGUGUGCCUGGAGACUGUGACUGUGUGGUGACUGCUCUUAAACCAGGAGUCCUUAAAUACCACAUCCUAUUUACUUUUAUUCUCACUGGCUUUACCUCCUUAAAGGUUUAGAUGGACUCACUUUCUGGAAAUAUUAAUUGUCAAAACAUGUUUUAUGUCAAAAGUCUUAAGAAUAUCUUUCAUUUCUUUUGAUAUUAAGUCUUCCUUCGUUUCAGUAUAAUGUUUUAAUUUCCCUAAAGUUUUUUUCCAUAUGGAACAUUUUUAAACAAAACUAUUUCCCAGUGCUGGUAGGGCAUUCAGAAUUAAAUAUAAUCCUACAUUCCAUAAGUUAUUAAAACACUUUAAAAAUUUUUUGUGGAUAUUCACAUUUUAUAAGUCAGCUGUCUUCUUAUUGUGGUGGCCUGGCCUCUUUUUCUAGAACUCAGACCUAGAUCCUUUUUCAAGCUAGGCCAGUACUCUUCCACUAAGCUAUGUCCUAAGCCUGUGUGAUCUCGUUAUUUUAAUCGUGAUUAAUUCAUUUGUUAGUUUCAUAAGUUCAUCUUUCAAUGAUUACUUUUCAGUGUUAUCUAAGCACCUGUUGUCUCUUCAACAGGGUUAAUGAACAGAAAGCAGCCUCCCAUAGCACUUCAGUAGGGAAUUUAUACUUGUUUAAUCUUUUUAUUUUAUUCUUUAUGUCCAUAUAAUUGUUUGCCUGUGUAUAUGACUAUUUGUGCCUGGUACCAUUGAAUCCUGUGGGACUGGGGGUUACAAACAGUUGUGAGCCACUAUGUUGGGGGCUAGGAAUUGAACUGAGGUAAUUGAGAGGAACAGCCAGGGUUCUUAACCACUGAGCCAUUUCUUCAGACCCUACAUGCUAGAUUAAUCUUAGAAUUAUCAUACCUGGUUAUAAAUAAUUUCAUUAAUUAGCUCUAUCCAACUGUAUAACAUCUAAUCUGCCAUUUUACUUUCGCAAAUUCCAGAGAGAGUCCACAUGAUUGAGUUAGGAUUCCUAGAUUACCUUUCUGGCAUUUGAGCUUAAUUUUUUUAAAAUAAAAUGACUGGUUUCAAGUUUUUCU